rnacentral:rRNA from 1 species
UCGAUCGUGGGCGCAGCCUGUCUAGCCUGCCGCGUGAGCGAUGAAGGCCUUAGGGUUGUAAAGCUCUUUCAGGGGGGAAGAUAAUGACUGUACCCCCAGAAGAAGCCCCGGCUAACUCCGUGCCAGCAGCCGCGGUAAUACGGAGGGGGCUAGCGUUGUUCGGAAUUACUGGGCGUAAAGCGCACGUAGGCGGACGGAGAAGUCAGAGGUGAAAUCCCAGGGCUCAACCUUGGAACUGCCUUUGAAACUUUCUGUCUUGAGGUCGAGAGAGGUGAGUGGAAUUCCGAGUGUAGAGGUGAAAUUCGUAGAUAUUCGGAGGAACACGAGUGGCGAAGGCGGCUCACUGGCUCGAUACUGACGCUGAGGUGCGAAA